CUGAGACCCAACCAGACUGUGAUCAAGACCAUUUCUUGGAAUGCUGACUUGGAACCAGAAGUUUAAAAAACAUCCAAGAAGGAAUUUCCAAGGAAUUGCAAGAUUAAUGUUGACAUCAUUGAAGAAAACAUCACAAUUCUGAGACUGAAGUCCAAUAUGAGUUCAUCCUGUGAUGUGGCUGCCAAUGAAAACAACAACAAUGAUGAUAUUGUUUAUUGUUGACAGAGGUGAUUCCGUUGUUCUCCUGGGAUAUCAGCACCCUGGGGGAAUUUCUCCAGGGGCGUGUGAAAAAAACAGUCCUCCUGUUGGCAUUCUUUCAUCAUGGAGACAGUGAGCAUUUGGAAAACGGUCCCCAUCUCAGUGUAAUGGGAGAGAGGCAUGGAAACAGAUGUUGCUGUACAGGGGCCUGGGGGCUUCACAGUGGCAUAAACAAGCUGAACGGGAACCUCAGAC
rnacentral:lncRNA from 1 species